AGUUUGAUCCUGGCUCAGGAUGAACGCUGGCGGCGUGCUUAACACAUGCAAGUCGAACGGGGCACCCCCAAAGGAGUUUUCGGACAACUGCGGGGAAUGCCUAGUGGCGGACGGGUGAGUAACGCGUGAGCAACCUGCCUUGGAGUGGGGAAUAACAGAUGGAAACAUCUGCUAAUACCGCAUGAUGCAGUUGGGCCACAUGGCUCUGACUGCCAAAGAUUUAUCGCUCUGAGAUGGGCUCGCGUCUGAUUAGCUAGUUGGCGGGGCAACGGCCCACCAAGGCGACGAUCAGUAGCCGGACUGAGAGGUUGGCCGGCCACAUUGGGACUGAGACACGGCCCAGACUCCUACGGGAGGCAGCAGUGGGGAAUAUUGGGCAAUGGGCGCAAGCCUGACCCAGCAACGCCGCGUGAAGGAAGAAGGCUUUCGGGUUGUAAACUUCUUUUCUCAGGGACGAACAGAUGACGGUACCUGAGGAAUAAGCCACGGCUAACUACGUGCCAGCAGCCGCGGUAAUACGUAGGUGGCAAGCGUUAUCCGGAUUUACUGGGUGUAAAGGGCGUGUAGGCGGGGACGCAAGUCAGAUGUGAAAACCACGGGCUCAACCUGUGGCCUGCAUUUGAAACUGUGUUUCUUGAGUACUGGAGAGGCAGACGGAAUUCCUAGUGUAGCGGUGAAAUGCGUAGAUAUUAGGAGGAACACCAGUGGCGAAGGCGGUCUGCUGGACAGCAACUGACGCUGAGGCGCGAAAGCGUGGGGAGCAAACAAGGGUAGAUACCCUGGUAGUCCACGCUGUAAACGACCAUAAUGGGUGGGGGGGACUGACCCCCUCCGUGCCGCAGUUAACACAAUAAGUAUCCCGCGGGGGGAGUACGAUGGCGAGGUGGAAACUCAAAGGAGUUGACGGGGGCCCGCACAAGCGGUGGAGUAUGUGGUUUAAUUAGAAGCAACGCGAAGAACCUUACCAGGGCGUGGCAUCCCGAGGCCCGGUGUAGAGAUACACCUUUAUCUUCGGAGACCUCGGUGACAGGUGGUGCAUGGUUGUCGUCAGCUCGUGUCGUGAGAGGUUGGGUUAAGUCCCGCAACGAGCGCAACCCUUAUUGUUAGUUGGUAGGCAAGAGCACUCUAGCGAGACUGCCGUUGACAAAACGGAGGAAGGUGGGGACGACGUCAAAUCAUCAUGCCCCUUAUGUCCUGGGCCACACACGUACUACAAUGGUGGUUAACAGAGGGAAGCAAUACUGUGAAGUGGAGCAAAUCCCUAAAAGCCAUCCCAGUUCGGAUCGCAGGCUGCAACCCGCCUGCAUGAAGUUGGAAUCGCUAGUAAUCGCGGAUCAGCAUGCCGCGGUGAAUACGUUCCGGGGCCUUGCACACACCGCCCGUCA
rnacentral:rRNA from 1 species